CCUACGGGUGGCAGCAGUGGGGAAUAUUGGUCAAUGGGCGAAAGCCUGAACCAGCCACGCCGCGUGAAGGAAGAAGGCUUUCGGGAUGUAAACUUCUUUUCUGAGGGACGAAAGAAGUGACGGUACCUCAGGAAUAAGCCUCGGCUAACUACGUGCCAGCAGCCGCGGUAAUACGUAGGGGGCAAGCGUUAUCCGGAUUUAUUGGGUGUAAAGGGAGUGUAGGCGGGAAGGCAAGUCAGAGGUGAAAAGUCGGGGCUCAACCCUGAGCCUGCAGUUGAAACUGUUUUGCUGGAGUGCUGGAGAGGCAAGCGGAAUUCGGGGUGUAGCGGUGAAAUGCGUAGAUAUAAGGAGGAACACCAGUGGCGAAGGCGGAUUGCUGGAGAGUAACUGACGCUGAGGCGCGAAAGCGUGGGGAGCAAACAGGAUUAGAUACCCCAGUAGUC
rnacentral:rRNA from 1 species